CGAUGGUUUGGGAUUGCGUGAAUUCCAUCCGCAGCGGCCUCUCACCCUUUCCUGCCUAGGGUAUCCUUGUGGCUGUCAACUUGUGCCCAUCCGACCUGAUCUUUCAGGCAUGUGAUGAAAUCGGGGUAUAUACGCACCCUGUAACCUUUUACUCCCACUACGGACUAGCAGAAUCCUAAACUCUGAUCUCAACCACCCCUGAAGAAGCCUAACCGGGCGAAAUAUAUAGGGUUUACCAACCAGGUUGCGAUCUCUGUUAGAGUACUAAUGUCUGUUAUGGGAACUUUUUAAACUUUGUACUAGUGAUCGGGCUGUCGAUCUGUGUAUUAGGCUUUUCUAUAGCCUAUGACAUGCCUUACAACCUGACGCUACUUUGUGUGUUUUUUUAAUAAAUCAUUAAAAUUUA